CCCUUAGACGUUCUGGGCCGCACGCGCGCUACACUGACAAAGGCAACGAGCUACUCUUCACCGAAAGGUGUGGGUAAUCUUUUGAAACUUUGUCGUGCUGGGGAUAGAUCCUUGCAAUUUUUGAUCUUAAACGAGGAAUUCCUAGUAAGCGCAAGUCAUCAACUUGCGUUGAUUACGUCCCUGCCCUUUGUACACACCGCCCGUCGCUCCUACCGAUUGGGUGUGCUGGUGAAAUGUUCGGAUCGGCCGUUUGUCGCGGUUUCCGCGUCAUGUGGCUGAGAAGUUCAUUAAACCCUCCCACCUAGAGGAAGGAGAAGUCGUAACA
rnacentral:rRNA from 1 species